GGCGGAGUAGCCAAGUGGUAAGGCACGGCUCUGCAAAAGCUGCAUUCGUCGGUUCGAUUCCGACCUCCGCCUCCA
rnacentral:tRNA from 1 species